GGCUCAGUUGUUUAGGGGUAUUUUUCGCGCUUCGGGUGCGCGAGAUCCCGGGUUCAAAUCUCGGCUGAGCCC
rnacentral:tRNA from 1 species